ensembl:lncRNA
UGAAAAGAUAAAUACAAGUUGAAUAGUUGAAUGUCUUGUCUUCGUUUUAAAGUUUGAAUGGUGGCUCUAUGUCAACGUAUGUGGAAGUAGUAGGAGUUUAAAAAUGAGUAAGUUGAAUGAGAAUUUGAAGGGUCUCCCCAUUGAAAUACAUGGGAAAUUUUUGUUGAAUAAAGUUGAAUAAAAUUAAAAAUAUAAAUGUUAAAAAUGAGAAAAGUAGAAGCAGUCAUGUCCAAAAGAAUAGGAAUCUAAUGGUGUUUGAAUGGUUUUUCUAAGUUGAACGGUUUUGAAGGAGAUAGAUUACAAAAAACGUACGGAAUAGAUAAUAAUAAAAUAGAACUAGAAAGUGCAUUUUCUGAAGAAACUGCAGUGUGAAUGCUUGAAUCUGAAUGUAUGCACUGAAAUGAAUUAAUUACUGAAUUUAAGUUAAAAAUCUUGAAUGAGAUAAAAAAAAAAAACCGAAUUUAACCUGAAAACAAAAGUGCUGAACUGCUAAAAGCUGAAGGUUACACAGAAGAAGAAGUUGGAAAAAAGCUGAAAAUGUUUUAAUUGUAAAUUAGAAAAACCUAAGAAAUGAGAAAAGAACAUUUAGAGUCAGAAAACAUCUGAAAGAAUAUUAAAAGGUCAUAUUCUUUGAAUCACUGAAUGACUAAAAUGUGAUCCCUCCACUUGGAUCCACACAGUUUAAAAAGUUUAAAUGUCUGAGCUUUGAAAGACAAGAUGUUGGAAAAAGAACAACGAUGGCGACGUUUUGAGGGUAAAAUGAUGGCUUUAACACUGUGGACACAGCAGCAGUUGAAAGAGAAGUGUUUAAGAUGAAUCUUGGCAGAGUGGCAGGCAGAGCUCGUUAAGCAGGCAGGUGUGAGCCUGGUUGCUAUAGUGACUGCACCCAAUGGCUCCAUACACACGUACACAGACAUGCACCUCACUUUUGCUGCUUAAAAUGAACAGAAACGUCAGGCCGAAACAAAUCGUUCCCAAAUGAAAAGUAUAGGUCGUAUUGACGAAAUUCUUUCACCGUGAGCGGCAGCAAUGUCUAGUCUACUGAAUUCUCAGUUUUCAUGCCUGUGGAGUUUAUUAUAUGGACGUGGUGACAGUGUAAAGACACCAUGCUCUUCUGAUUUUCAAACCAACCUUCUGAGACAUUUUAACAUUGGAGUCUAUGGAAGAGUUGGAGGGAGGAGGCUGUGCAUUGGUGACAUUUAUGAAAGAACCAUAACACCUAGGACAAUAGUAAACACAUUGGAUGAAAGAGGACAGCGAUGGCUACGUUUUGAGGGUAAAAUCAUACCUGUAGAGCAAACGCUGCGGACACAGCAGCAGUUUUAAAAAAGAUUUUAAGAUUAAUUUUUUUGCUCCUCUCACUCUAGCAGUUGAGCUGCCUCACUCUAGCCCCAACAUUCCGUCCCAUACACACCCAUUAUAAACUCUGAAACGGGUGAAAAAACAUCAUGAAACUUAAACUGGAACUGAAGAAAAAGUAUAAUAGAUAUUGAAAAGAUAAAUACAAGUUGAAUAGUUGAAUGUCUUGUCUUCGUUUUAAAGUUUGAAUGGUGGCUCUAUGUCAACGUAUGUUGAAGUAGUAAGAGUUUAAAAAUGAGUAAGUUGAAUGAGAAUUUGAAGGGUCUCCCCAUUGAAAUACAUUAUAAAUUUUUGUUGAAAAAAGUUGAAUAAAAUUAAAAAUAUAAAUGUUAAAAAUGAGAAAAAUAGAAGCAAUGUUGUCCAAAAGAAUAGGAAUCUAACGGUGUUUGAAUGGUUUUUCUAAGUUGAACGGUUUUGAAGGAGUAGGCUUUCAAAAAACGUACGGAAAAAUAAAAUAUAAUAAUAAUAAUAAAGAUUAGAAGAACAAUACUGUGAAUGCUUUUCAAGCAUUCACACUAAUAAUAAUAAAGAUUAGAAGAACAAUACUGUGAAUGCUUUUCAAGCAUUCACACUAACUAGAAAGUGCAUUUUCUGAAGAAACUGCAGUGUGAAUGCUUGAAUCUGAAUGUAUGCACUGAAAUGAAUAAAUUGCUGAAUUUUGAGUUAAAAAUAUUGAAUGAGAUAAAAAACAAAACAAAAAAAAAAAACGAAUUUAACCUGAAAACAAAGGUGCUGAACUGCUAAAAGCUGAAGGUUACACAGAAGAAGGAGUUGGAAAAAAACUGAAAAUGUUUUAAAUGUAAAUUAGAAAACCCUAAGAAAUGAGAAAAGAACAUUUAGAGUCAGAAAACAUCUGAAUGAAUAUUAAAAGGUCAUAUUCUUUGAAUCACUGAAUGACUAAAAUGUGAUCCCUCCACUUUGAUCCACACAGUUUAAAAAGUUUAAAUGCCUGAGCUUUGAAAGAUACGGUGUUGGAAAGAGAACAAUAAUGGCGACAAUUUGAGGGUAAAAUGAUGGCUGUAACACUGUGGACACAGCAGCAGUUGAAAGAGAAGUGCUUAAGAUGAAUCUUGGUACAGUGGCAGGCAGAGCUCGUUAAGCAGGCAGGUGUGAGCCUGGUUGCUAUAGUGACCGCACCCAAUGGCUCCAUACACACGUACACAGACAUGCGCCUCACUUUUGCUGCUUAAAAUGAACAGAAAA